rnacentral:rRNA from 1 species
GACGAACGCUGGCGGCGUGCUUAACACAUGCAAGUCGAACGAAGUGGCGAACGGGUGAGUAACGCGUAAUCAACCUGCCCUUCAGAGGGGGACAACAGUUGGAAACGACUGCUAAUACCGCAUACGGAAGGAGGGGAUUGCGUCGGAUUAGCUCGUUGGGGGGGUAACGGCCCACCAAGGCGAGGAGCAGUAGGCGGGUUGGAGGGAUGAACCGCCCAAAUGGGAACGGAGCCCGGCCCAGACUCCUACGGGAGGCAGGAGUGGGGAAUCUUCCGCAAUUGACGGAAGUCUGACGGAGGAACGCCGCGUGAGUGAUGGCGGCCUUCGGGUUGUAAAGCUCCUUUCAUCGGGACGCGGUACCGGAAUAGAAAGCCACGGCUAACUACGUGCCAGCAGCCGCGGUAAUUC